rnacentral:rRNA from 1 species
GACGUAGGUGGCGAACGUUAUCCGGAAUUAUUGGGCGUAAAGGGUGCGUAGGCGGCAUGAUAAGUUAUUGGCGGCAAAUCGAGGCUCAACCUCGUGGAAACUGAUAAUACUGUCUUGCUUGAGUGCAGAAGAGGUUAACGGAACUCCAUGUGGAGCGGUAAAAAUGUGUAGAUAUAUGGAAGAACAUCAAUAACGGCGAAGGCAGUUAACUAUUCUGUUACUGACGUUGAGGCACGAAAGCGUGGGGGAGCAAAAAAGGGUAUAAC